UUACGGCCAUGUCAGGUUGAAACACCGGUUGUUUUACGAUCACCGAAGUUAAGCAUCGUCGAGCCUGGUCAGUACCUAGCUGGGUGACAGCUUUGAAAUACCAGGGGCUGUAAG